CUCCUCUCAGGAUGGCGUCUGGAGGAUUUCCAGUACUCUACUGGUCUCGGCUAUGAGAGGGAGAGUCAGGCAGAGGCAUACCCAUUCCAUUCCUAGCUUGGGCAGUGGCGUGUGAGUGGAAGGCAAUCUGCUACAAGU